rnacentral:rRNA from 1 species
AGAGUUUGAUCCUGGCUCAGAACGAACGCUGGCGGCAUGCCUAACACAUGCAAGUCGGACGCUUUUGAGGUUUCGGCCUCAAGGGAGUGGCGGACGGGUGAGUAGCGCGUGGGAACCUGCCCCUUUGUGGGGGAUAACCGAGGGAAACUUCGGCUAAUACCGCAUGCGCCCCGGAGCAAUCCGGGGGAAAGAUUUAUCGCAGAGGGAGGGGCCCGCGUCGGAUUAGGUAGUUGGUGGGGUAACGGCCUACCAAGCCUGUGAUCCGUAGCUGGUCUGAGAGGAUGAUCAGCCACACUGGGACUGAGACACGGCCCAGACUCCUACGGGAGGCAGCAGUGGGGAAUAUUGGACAAUGGGCGCAAGCCUGAUCCAGCAAUGCCGCGUGAGUGAUGAAGGCCUUAGGGUUGUAAAGCUCUUUCGGUGGGGACGAUGAUGACGGUACCCGCAGAAGAAGCCCCGGCUAACUUCGUGCCAGCAGCCGCGGUAAUACGAAGGGGGCGAGCGUUGUUCGGAUUUACUGGGCGUAAAGGGCGCGUAGGCGGCGGACCAAGUCGAGUGUGAAAGCCCCGGGCUCAACCUGGGAGGUGCGCUCGAGACUGGUCUGCUUGAGUUCGGGAGAGGAGCGUGGAAUUCCCAGUGUAGAGGUGAAAUUCGUAGAUAUUGGGAAGAACACCGGUGGCGAAGGCGGCGCUCUGGACCGAGACUGACGCUGAGGCGCGAAAGCGUGGGGAGCAAACAGGAUUAGAUACCCCAGUAGUCC